rnacentral:lncRNA from 1 species
UCAGGCUGGCCAGAGGGUUUUUAUGGGUGAGGGGAUAUGGGGAGGCUACGUGCAGUGGUUGGGAUCAAGAGGUGACCGAGGACCACAAACAUUUGGGUGCCAGUGAGGGGUCGAGGAGGUUGGGAACUUUUCUGUCCUUGGUUAGGUCACAAUGCUUCUGUAAAUCUCCAACAAAACAGACUUAGUUGUUUACAAACUUCCCCUUUGAUAUGGUUUGGCUGUGUCCCCACCCAAAUCUCAUCUUGAAUACUAGUUCCCAUAAUCCCCACGUGUGGUGGGAGGGGCUUGGUGGGAGGUAACUGAAUCAUGGGGGUGGUUUCCACAUGCUGUUCUUGUGACAGUGAGUGAGUUCUCAUGAGAUCUGAAGGUUUUAUAAGGGGCUGUUCCCGCUUUUGCUCAGCCCUUCUCCUUCCUGCCAUCAUGUGAGGAAGGACGUGUUUGCUUCCCCUUCUGCAGUGAUUGUAAGUCUCCUGAGGCCUCCCCAGCCAUGCAGAACUGUGAGUCAUUUAAACUUCUUUCCUUUGUAAAUUACCCAGUCUCGGGCAGUUCUUUAUACUAAUGUGAGAACGGACUAAUACACCCUUUACUCCCAGAGUUAGUUUCAAAAACUACAUGAUUGCUGUUUCGCAUUUCAUCCCAGUUCUCUAAAAUUAUCCUAGCCUACGUGCAGGAAGGGGUAAAAGCCCCUUAAAGAAAAAUGAAGUGAGUGACGUUAGUUUCUUGCUGUUUCACUGUUACACAAUGAUACGAGGUAUGAAAGGGAGGAAUGAGGAUGGUUUUGUUAUGUUAAGGUGCUCACACUACCUGUGAAGUGUUACAGUGUUAUUUGAAAGAGACACAGAGAGAAGAUGCCAUCCACAUGCCAAGGAGGGAGACCUGGAGCAGCUCCUCCCUCACAGCCCUCAAGAGGAACCUGCCCUGCAGACACCUUGAUUUCCGACGUGGCCUCCAGCCCUGGGUUUAUUUGUGAGCGUGGACUCCGUUUUGAUUCUGACAACUGCUGAUGAGGAAACUGAAACUGAGGGGGGUUAAGACCUCUGCCCCAAAUCACCCAGGUGGUAAGUGAAAGAGCUAAGACUCUAUCUCAGCUGCUCUAGCACUGGAGCUUUAGGCCAGAGCCCUUUUUUCCAUGACUUGAUUCUAACUCCCAGAAGGACAAAGAGAUGGG